rnacentral:rRNA from 1 species
UAAAACGUAGGAGGCGAGCGUUAUCCGGAUUUACUGGGUGUAAAGCGCGUGCAGGCGGUUUAGCAAGUCGUGCGUGAAAGCGCCCGGCUCAACCGGGCGAGGUCGUGCGAAACUGCUUAACUUGAGGUAGGUAGAGGCGUGUGGAAUUCCGGGUGUAGUGGUGAAAUGCGUAGAGAUCCGGAGGAACACCAGUGGCGAAGGCGACACGCUGGGCCUGACCUGACGCUCAGACGCGAAAGCAUGGGUAGCGAACGGG